GUCCACGCUGUAAACUAUGUGUGCUUGACGUCGGGGGGCCUAGCCCUUCGGUGUCGGAGCUAACGCGGUAAGCACACCGCCUGGGUAGUACGGUCGCAAGAUUAAAACUCAAAGGAAUUGACGGGGGCCCGCACAAGCGGUGGAGCAUGUGGUUCAAUUCGAUGCAACGCGCAGAACCUUACCAGCCCUUGACAUGGGAAGUAUGGAACAGAGAGAUCUGUUCCUUCAGUUCGGCUGGCUUCCACACAGGUGCUGCAUGGCUGUCGU
rnacentral:rRNA from 1 species